rnacentral:miRNA from 1 species
UUCUGGAGUAACAUUUUGCAUUU